rnacentral:rRNA from 1 species
UACGAAGGGUGCAAGCGUUAAUCGGAAUUACUGGGCGUAAAGGGCGCGUAGGCGGAAUGGCAAGUCGGUCGUGAAAUCCUUCGGCUCAACCGAAGAACGUCGAUCGAAACUGCCGUUCUUGAGGAUUGCAGAGGAGACUGGAAUUCCCGGUGUAGCGGUGAAAUGUGUAGAGAUCGGGAGGAACACCGGUGGCGAAGGCGGGUCUCUGGGCAAUUCCUGACGCUGAGGCGCGAAAGCGUGGGGAGCAAACGGG